UAAGGUCGGCAACCAUCGUGCGCAUCUC
rnacentral:sRNA from 1 species